UUAUUAAAGAUGUGUCAACCAAUGAGUGGGCAACUCUUGUCUAAUACUUCUUCAAACAUGUUGUAGUGAUUUUUAGUUUCUAAGUCCUAAAGCCUUACCUGACAGUUAUUGGCCUUAUUCCUUAGUUAAGUCAGGCCCACCACUCACCAAUAGGUAUAAAGCCGUCAUUGAAUCCCUCACUUGAUAGGUAUUAGGUCCAAUCCCAUCUUUACUCUAGAGUAUCUUUUGCUAUAGAGUGGUUGCAUCUUUCUUGAUACAACUGAACCACUAUGACCAGUCGAGAACAAUCAAC
rnacentral:lncRNA from 1 species